AGCAGCAGCCGCGGUAAUACGAAGGGGGCUAGCGUUGUUCGGAAUUACUGGGCGUAAAGGGCGCGUAGGCGGCCAUUCAAGUUAGAUGUGAAAGCCCUGGGCUCAACCUAGGAAUUGCAUUUGAUACUGUUUGGCUUGAGUUCGGGAGAGGUGAGUGGAAUUCCCAGUGUAGAGGUGAAAUUCGUAGAUAUUGGGAAGAACACCAGUGGCGAAGGCGGCUCACUGGACCGACACUGACGCUGAGGCGCGAAAGCGUGGGGAGCAAACAGGAUUAGAUACCCCGGUAGUCCCUGUCUCUUAUAC
rnacentral:rRNA from 1 species